rnacentral:rRNA from 1 species
CUGACACAGGGAGGUAGUGACAAUAAAUAACAAUGCCGUGCCCUUUUGGGUAUGGCUUUUGGAAUGAGAGAAACACAGAAUCCACAUCGAGGAUCAAUUGGAGGGCAAGUCUGGUGCCAGCAGCCGCGGUAAUUCCAGCUCCAAUAGCGUAUAUUAAAGUUGCUGCAGUUAAAAAGCUCGUAGUUGCAUUUCCGAGGCAAGGGAUUAGUCCGACCUUUGGUGGGUAUUUAAUCCUCUUGCCUCGUCCUUGAGUGGUGCUUCUUGGUAUUAAGUUAUCGAGGAGAUAGCCGCUCAUCGUUUACUGUGAGAAAAUUAGAGUGUUCAAAGCAGGCUUAUGCCGUUGAAUAUAUUAGCAUGGAAUAAUAAGAUAGGACCUCGGUACUAUUUUGUUGGUUUGAGAACCAAGGUAAUGAUGAAUAGGGACAGUUGGGGGUAUUCGUAUUCAGUUGUCAGAGGUGAAAUUCUUAGAUUUACGGAAGACGAACUACUGCGAAAGCAUUUACCAAGGA